rnacentral:rRNA from 1 species
GACGUAGGGGGCCAGCGUUGUUCGGAAUUAUUGGGUGUAAAGGGUUCGUAGGCGGUGUGGCAAGUCGGGAGUGAAAUCUCUGGGCUCAACCCAGAGUCUGCUUCCGAAACUGCUGUGCUUGAGUGUGGGAGAGGCGCGUGGAAUUGCAGGUGUAGCGGUGAAAUGCGUAGAUAUCUGCAGGAACACCCGUGGCGAAAGCGGCGCGCUGGACCACUACUGACGCUGAGGAACGAAAGCUAGGGGAGCAAACAGG